AACGAACGCUGGCGGCGCGCUUAACACAUGCAAGUCGAACGCAUGCUUGAUCUUCGGGUUGGGCAUGAGUGGCGGACGGGUGAGUAACGCGUGGGAACCUGCCCUGAGGUUCGGGACAACCGUGGGAAACUGCGGCUAAUACCGGAUAUCUCCUUUGGGAGAAAGACUUGGUCGCCUUGGGAGGGGCCCGCGUCGGAUUAGCUUGUUGGUGGGGUAACGGCCUACCAAGGCAUCGAUCCGUAGCUGGUCUGAGAGGAUGAUCAGCCACACUGGGACUGAGACACGGCCCAGACUCCUACGGGAGGCAGCAGUGGGGAAUCUUGGACAAUGGGGGCAACCCUGAUCCAGCGACGCCGCGUGGGUGAAGAAGGCCUCGG
rnacentral:rRNA from 1 species